AAACAAAAGUAUGGCUGUAACACUAGAAGCCCCAGUGAUCACUUGUAUUGAUUCAGCUGAUCUGGCUGGUGAGGUGGGCAUUUCCUUCUUCCCUCACUGAUUCAUGUGUAUCCCUCCUGAAGCCACGCCCUNAACCUUGCUGGAUUGACGAGCUUUGUUCUUCUGUCAAAGGUAUACAGAGUAACUUUGCCCUCCUGCUGAAACUUACAAACAGGCUUUCAAGUUUCAUUUGUAGGGGAAUAUAGGGUUGUCAAGCUAGUCAAGCUCCCAAGACUUUAAACAUAUCCACGGGUGACACUGCACCAGCCCACGGCAGUAGGCCUGUUCU
rnacentral:snRNA from 1 species